rnacentral:rRNA from 1 species
AUUGAACGCUGGCGGCGUGCCUAACACAUGCAAGUCGAGCGGUAACAGGUGUAGCAAUACAUGCUGACGAGCGGCGAACGGGUGAGUAAUGCUUCGGAAUCUACCCAAUGGUGGGGAAUAACCAGCCGAAAGGUUGGCUAAUACCGCAUACGUCCUACGGGAGAAAGCAGGGGAUCGCAAGACCUUGCGCCAAUGGAUGAGCCGAAGUCGGAUUAGCUAGNGGUAGGGUAACGGCCUACCAAGGCGACGAUCCGUAGCUGGUCUGAGAGGACGACCAGCCACACU